GACGAACGCUGGCGGCGUGCCUAAUACAUGCAAGUAGGACGCAGUUGCGAACGGGUGAGUAACGCGUAGGUAACUAACUAUUAGAGGGGGAUAACUAUUGGAAACGAUAGCUAAUACCGCAUACUCGUAGCUGGACCUGCGUUGUAUUAGCUAGUAGGUAGGGUAAUGGCCUACCUAGGCAACGAUAGAUAGCCGAAAUGAGAGGGUGAGCGGCAACACUGUGACUGGGACACGGCGCAGACUCCGACGGGAGACAGCAGAAGGGAAUAGUCGGAAAUGGGGGGAACACUGACCGAGCAACGCCGCGUGAGUGAAGAAGGUUUGCGGAUAGGAAAGCUCGGUGGGUAAGGAAGCGGUACUUAACCAGAAAGGGACGGAGAACUACGUGCCAGCAGCCGCGGUAAUAC
rnacentral:rRNA from 1 species